UUCUCUUCUCUGACGCUUUUUAGACGGAUUUGUUCCAGUUCUGGCUCUGGCUCCGCUGUGGCGUCGGCCAUCUUACUCGCACGGAGUUUAAACGGGCUCAGCCCGCAGGAAAGGCCGAGGCUCGGGGCCUAUUUACAACUAACAUCUGGCCACAGCGUUUUUUGGACUAGAAAAUGCCAUGCGGCAGAAUUGGAGUAUUUCUUGGCGUUUUUCCCCCCAAAAAAGUCGGGGCUAUGUGCAUUUACAAACCACCCAUGGUGCCGGAACAGCAGAAACCCCCCACAUGUGACACCAUUUUGGAAACUAGACCCCACCAGGAACAUAACAAGGGUUACGUAAAGAAGCGGACAUAUCCACUCCCUGACAGAUGACAUCACAGCCUCAGAGAUGACCCUCUGAUAGCUCAGCUCAACUACCUGACUUUCCUGCAGACCUUCCAGCUAUUCUGAAAGACAGGUGGAAGACAUCAUUCUGAAAGAGGGUCCCACAGUUGAGCCAUAGCAGAUUGGGUAUUGUUAAAAAAAAAAAAAAAAGUUUGUCAUCCAGUGCGUGGGAACCGACACAGAGUCAGGCUCUGAAAGUCCAGUGUCCUAGCCUGGGCCUGUGUUGUGGUGCAUCUUUGGCCGCUGUCAGUCAUCUAUUUAGUUAAAGAAUAUAUAUAAGAAUAUAUAAUGUGUGGUGUGCUAAUAAAACCAAUAUAGUGUGAUGUGCUAAUAAAAUUAAUAUAUGUGUGUGAUAAUAUAAUUAUCAAAAGGGUGACAAAUAAAAAAAAAAAAUCUAUUAAUUUCUACCACCUUUUCUGAGUUUAAAGCGUACCCGUCAGAUCACUCAAAAAAACUAAACAAUUACACUUUGCUUUGUCAUGAGGAUUUUGUCUUUCUUAUAAAAUGUACUCCUUCUAAAUGUUGCUUAUGAGUGUAAUAUGCCAAUGUCAUCAUACCCUGCCAAGAACCAUAUGGAGUGAAGUUAAAGGGU